GAGGCUUCCAGAAUUCUGGAGGCUCAAGUAUAUGACGCCUCCAGAAUUACGGAGGCCUCAACAUGAGCCUCCAUAUACUUGAGCCUCCAGAAUUUUGGAGGCCU
rnacentral:miRNA from 1 species